rnacentral:rRNA from 1 species
GACGAACGCUGGCGGCGUGCUUAACACAUGCAAGUCGAACGGAAAGGCCCUGCUUUUGUGGGGUGCUCGAGUGGCGAACGGGUGAGUAACACGUGAGUAACCUGCCCUUGACUUUGGGAUAACUUCAGGAAACUGGGGCUAAUACCGGAUAGGAGCUCCUGCUGCAUGGUGGGGGUUGGAAAGUUUCGGCGGUUGGGGAUGGACUCGCGGCUUAUCAGCUUGUUGGUGGGGUAGUGGCUUACCAAGCCUUUGACGGGUAGCCGGCCUGAGAGGGGGACCGGCCACAUUGGGACUGAGGUACGGCCCAGACUCCUACGGGAGGCAGCAGUGGGGAAUAUUGCACAAUGGGCGGAAGCCUGAUGCAGCAACGCCGCGUGCGGGAUGACGGCCUUCGGGUUGUAAACCGCUUUCGCCUGUGACGAAGCGUGAGUGACGGUAAUGGGUAAAGAAGCACCGGCUAACUACGUG